rnacentral:rRNA from 1 species
UACGGGGGGAGCAAGCGUUGUUCGGAUUUACUGGGCGUAAAGGGCGCGUAGGCGGCGUGACAAGUCACUUGUGAAAUCUCCGGGCUUAACUCGGAACGGUCAAGUGAUACUGUCGUGCUAGAGUACAGAAGGGGCAACUGGAAUUCCUGGUGUAGCGGUGAAAUGCGCAGAUAUCAGGAGGAACACCAGCGGCGAAGGCGGCGCUCUGGGCCGGAACUGACGCUGAGGAGCGAAAGCGUGGGGAGCAAACAGG